GGCACGCCUAACACAUGCAAGUCGAGCGCUACCUUCGGGUGGAGCGGCGGACGGGUUAGUAACGCGUGGGAACAUACCCUUUACUAAGGAAUAGCCACUGGAAACGGUGAGUAAUACCUUAUACGCCCUUCGGGGGAAAGAUUUAUCGGUGAAGGAUUGGCCCGCGUUAGAUUAGAUAGUUGGUGGGGUAACGGCCUACCAAGUCUACGAUCUAUAGCUGGUUUGAGAGGAUGAUCAGCAACACUGGGACUGAGACACGGCCCAGACUCCUACGGGAGGCAGCAGUGGGGAAUAUUAGACAAU
rnacentral:rRNA from 1 species